GAUGAACGCUGGCGGCGUGCCUAAUACAUGCAAGUCGAGCGAACGGACGAGAAGCUUGCUUCUCUGAUGUUAGCGGCGGACGGGUGAGUAACACGUGGAUAACCUACCUAUAAGACUGGGAUAACUUCGGGAAACCGGAGCUAAUACCGGAUAAUAUUUUGAACCGCAUGGUUCAAAAGUGAAAGCCGGUCUUGCUGUCACUUAUAGAUGGAUCCGCGCUGCAUUAGCUAGUUGGUAAGGUAACGGCUUACCAAGGCAACGAUGCAUAGCCGACCUGAGAGGGUGAUCGGCCACACUGGAACUGAGACACGGUCCAGACUCCUACGGGAGGCAGCAGUAGGGAAUCUUCCGCAAAGGGCGAAAGCCUGACGGAGCAACGCCGCGUGAGUGAUGAAGGUCUUCGGAUCGUAAAACUCUGUUAUUAGGGAAGAACAGAUGUGUAAGUAACUGUGCACAUCUUGACGGUACCUAAUCAGAAAGCCACGGCUAACUACGUG
rnacentral:rRNA from 1 species